rnacentral:rRNA from 1 species
UACGUAGGGGGCAAGCGUUGUCCGGAUUUACUGGGCGUAAAGAGCGUGUAGGCGGCCAGGCAGGUCUGUUGUGAAAACUGGAGGCUCAACUUCCAGACGUCGACAGAAACCGCUUGGCUAGAGUCCGGAAGAGGAGAGUGGAAUUCCUGGUGUAGCGGUGAAAUGCGCAGAGUAUCAGGAAGAACACCGAUGGCGAAGGCAGCUCUCUGGGACGGUACUGACGCUGAGACGCGAAAGCGUGGGGAGCGAACAGG